CCUACGGGUGGCAGCAGUGAGGCAUAUUGGUCAAUGGACGAGAGUCUGAACCAGCCAAGUAGCGUGAAGGAUGACUGCCCUAUGGGUUGUAAACUUCUUUUAUAUGGGAAUAAAAUGUUCCACGUGUGGGAUUUUGUAUGUACCAUAUGAAUAAGGAUCGGCUAACUCCGUGCCAGCAGCCGCGGUAAUACGGAGGAUCCGAGCGUUAUCCGGAUUUAUUGGGUUUAAAGGGAGCGUAGGUGGAUUGUUAAGUCAGUUGUGAAAGUUUGCGGCUCAACCGUAACAUUGCAGUUGAAACUGGCAGUCUUGAGUACAGUAGAGGUGGGCGGAAUUCGUGGUGUAGCGGUGAAAUGCUUAGAUAUCACGAAGAACUCCGAUUGCGAAGGCAGUUCACUGGACUGCAACUGACGCUGAGGCUCGAAAGUGUGGGUAUCAAACAGGAUUAGAUACCCCUGUAGUC
rnacentral:rRNA from 1 species